rnacentral:tRNA from 1 species
ACUCAUACAAGUACUUGAUUUGAAAUCAAGUUUGUUGUUUUUAUUAACAAUAUGGGUU